AUUGAACGCUGGCGGCAGGCCUAACACAUGCAAGUCGAGCGGAUGAAGGGAGCUUGCUCCUGGAUUCAGCGGCGGACGGGUGAGUAAUGCCUAGGAAUCUGCCUGGUAGUGGGGGAUAACGUCCGGAAACGGGCGCUAAUACCGCAUACGUCCUGAGGGAGAAAGUGGGGGAUCUUCGGACCUCACGCUAUCAGAUGAGCCUAGGUCGGAUUAGCUAGUUGGUGGGGUAAAGGCCUACCAAGGCGACGAUCCGUAACUGGUCUGAGAGGAUGAUCAGUCACACUGGAACUGAGACACGGUCCAGACUCCUACGGGAGGCAGCAGUAGGGAAUAUUGGACAAUGGGCGAAAGCCUGAUCCGGCCAUGCCGCGCGUGUGAAGAAGGUCUUCGGAUUGUAAAGCACUUUAAGUUGGGAGGAAGGGCAGUAAGUUAAUACCUUGCUGUUUUGACGUUACCAACAGAAUAAGCACCGGCUAACUUCGUG
rnacentral:rRNA from 1 species